rnacentral:rRNA from 1 species
UACGGAGGGUGCAAGCGUUAUCCGGAUUUACUGGGUUUAAAGGGUGCGUAGGCGGGUUGAUAAGUCAGUGGUGAAAGCCUCCCGCUCAACGGGAGAACUGCCAUUGAUACUAUCAGUCUUGAAUACAGUUGAGGUGGGCGGAAUGUGUCGUGUAGCGGUGAAAUGCUUAGAUAUGACACAGAACACCGAUUGCGAAGGCAGCUCGCUAAACUGUGAUUGACGCUGAGGCACGAAAGCGUGGGGAUCAAACAGG